rnacentral:rRNA from 1 species
UACAGAGGGGGCAAGCGUUGUUCGGAAUUACUGGGCGUAAAGGGCGCGUAGGCGGCCUUCUAAGUCGAACGUGAAAUCCCCGGGCUCAACCCGGGAACUGCGUCCGAUACUGGAAGGCUAGAAUCCGGGAGAGGGAUGCGGAAUUCCAGGUGUAGCGGUGAAAUGCGUAGAUAUCUGGAGGAACACCGGUGGCGAAGGCGGCAUCCUGGACCGGUAUUGGCGCUGAGGCGCGAAAGCCAGGGGAGCAAACGGG